AUGGUACAUCAAACCAGAAGUUGUCCUCCUCUUCUCCUCUCUUUCACAACAAUACAUAGAAAAGCUUCCAGAUUAGAUAUGGCUUUCCACAUGAGAUCCAUAAGUUUGCCUUCUAGGCCUCAGGCCAAUGAGACCGAGGUUGAGCAAGAACUGCUGAGCCUAGAGGCAAGCAUCUCUUCUUCCAUCACCAUCGGCACGAUGUGUGAUGGUCUGAGGAGGCUUGGAGACAUCUACAAGGGUGUUGAAGAGAUUAUUUGCCUAUCAAGCAAUCAAGUUAGCUCCUCUCAGCAGAGGAAGAUGUUGGAUGAAGAGAUGGAAUGCUCUCUUGAGUUGUUGGACCUCUACAGUAACAUGCAAGAGAUCUUCGUCGAAAUGAAGGUCAUCAUCCAAGAGCUGCAAGUGGCUCUGAGAAAAGGGGAUGAUGCAGCUGCUCAAGCCAAGAUCUAG
rnacentral:rRNA from 1 species